UAUUAACUUUUCAUUUGAAAAGCUCUAAUUUCAGUUUUAGUUGAUAGCAAAUAUAAUUUUUGGUUCUAAUCUGGUUAACCAUUAGGGUGAGAGCUAGUUUCUUGUUCCAUACCUGACCAUCCUAUUAAUUUGGUUAUGGAAAGCCAUCCCUUAGUCAUGAAAUGAGUGGGAUGAGGUUUGGGUUUGGGAGUUUUAAACUAAAAUGCAUUCGAUGUUGAUAUUGGUUGGUUUAGCAAUUAGGUAAGAUCAAGAUAGUGUUAGUUGUGGGGUUCCACAAUUAUAUGUAGCUUUUAGCUUCUGGUUAUAGUUCUGUCGUCUCUCUUUUUUGUUUUUUGUUUUGGAGAGUUUGUGGGGGGAGCAGUAUCCCUUCUCUCCUUUGUACUUUGUCCUUGUCUCUUCUUUUAAUAAACUAUUUAUAUUUUCCAUUAAGUUCAUAUGUUGAAAUUUCGACAGCAUAUUUCGGUUUUGUUGGACUAUGUAUCCACGAUUGGGGGAGUGUCCCCCAUCAUGACAUGGUUAUCUUAGUUACUUUCCAAGUUAGAUUAGGUUGUUUACUUUCCUAGUUAGACCAGAUCUCUAGUUUCCUAAAUUAGAGUUAGGCUAUGAUUGUCUUUCCCAUUCCACCUAUGAUUGUACUUGGAUCUACUUAUUAUAAAUAUAUGAUGGAGGGAGACUAUCAGACACACAUUGGCUGCUCCUCUCCCUUGCCUUCUCUCUUCUUCUUCCUCAUCUCUCCUCCCAAGUUUCUGGUUGCAGAUCCUUGGUUUUCUACAUGGUAUCAGAGCCACGAAUAAGAAGAAGAAGAAAAAAUAGGUAACCUGUGUUUGAUUAGUGUUGCUGAAAAAGAAAAAGAAAAUCUUCUCUGUUAUCGUUUCAUCUCAAGGGCAGGUUUCAUAUGGGUUUUGUAUAAAAAUCAAACCAGGGAUUGUGAAGUUGUUCUGCUGAUUAGAAUCAUUAGAUGAUCGAAGCUUCAUCUUGGAAAAGGGUCGAUUGUCUGAUUUUCUGAUUGCUGCUAUUGCUGAACUAGGGUUCACUCGAUCUUGUUCUUGACUGCUGUUGAAAUCCCCUAUCAUGAUCUCCCAUCAAUUUCUGCUACUAAUUGAAGGCGCAGGUUCUCUUUGCUGAUAUGGUUACUGUUGGUCGAAAAUUACAGCCCAUUAAAGCUGGGUUGUUCUCCUUUGUAGCUCGUCGGUUUGACCAGAUAUAUUCAGUGUAGUCUUCUCUUUGAUCGGCGAUUGUGACCUAUGAGUUUCAGCCCCAAAGGAUCCCUUGACCGUGAGUUCAAGAUCAGGAUUCAUACCUGUUCUGUUCAGUACCGCCAGAUCUGAGUUGUAGGAGCGAAAACUCCUUUUUUGCUAGCUGUUUUGAGGAGGAUCGCUGUUGGAGUCAAGGGAGCAUAUGGUUUUCCACCAUCGCCUGGAAUCCUAGGCUGAACUGAGAAGAACUGUAGGACUUCUUUCCUCCGCAAGCGUUUCUUGUUCCACCAUAGAGCUGCUGCGAGAGGUCGAAGACAACCCCAAUCGUGAGUUGCUAUAUCAAUCUGCCCAUUUUUUCAAUUUUCCCAAAUUUACCCCUCCUUUCUCCCUUUAUUCGACUUGGUCCAUAUUUUACACUCCCUUCCUAGUUUACCCUUGGAGAAUAAAUCUAAUUCCUAUUAUGUUUUAGCCCCACUUAGCCUACCUAAAACCUCCUUUAUAAUUGCAGUUAUUUCCCAAAUUGUCAUUAUUUCUCAUUAUCUGCGCUUUUUGUCAAUCGGAUGGGCCUAUAAACAAUCCAAUUUCAAUUUUCCGAACCUGGAUCCGCAUCUAACCUUCAGAUAUUAAUCGAUAGCCGCAUGAAAUAUUUUGGUUAAUUACGGUUCUGCCAUUACCCCUUGUUAUUGCCUAUUUUAUGAACUGGAUGGGUCUAUACCAAACCCAAUUGGGUAUUUUGACCCCAGUUCCGCAUCACUUGGGGAUUGCAUGAGGUAAUUACAGAAUUGCCAUUGGGCAUAUACAUGUGUCAUAUUAUUGCGUUGGCAGGACCGAAAUCACAUCUUUGGGCUUGACAAUGUUUUUGGCACUGGUAUUGGCAUGUUAUGUUAAUUGGAGAUUGUUUGUUCAACCUUGCUGCCGUGAGGGGGAGAGUAGAUAUUAUAUUAUGCUCUUGGUCAAGGGUUUAUUCAAGAUGCUGAUUGUUGGAAUUAUUUGUUCACGUGUAAUCCUACAUGUGAGGGGGAUAUUGGAGAUUUUUGGAAUUAUUUGUUCACGUGUAAUGCACAUGAAGGUGAGAUUGGAGAUUUUUAUCUGCUCUGCACAAUUCAUCAAUAGGAUAUUUUUAUGAGUGAAGAUUAUUUAUCAGCUCGUGUCUUCAGUAACGAUUUUAGCUUUUGAAGGGCAAGAUUAAUGAAUUGAGAUCUUAAGAUGAGGUGAUCUGUUAAGGAUCUAAGUUGUUGCUCUUCAUCUUUACCUCUUUUAAAGCAUGAUAUGGCGUUUUUUGAAGAUUAGUUAUCCACCUUGUGUGAUUGAAUUGAUUCCUUUCUUUGAAGAUCAAGUUCUUCCCUUAUAUUGAAGAUCGUGUUUUCCCCCUAUUGGAAAUCAAGUUUCGCAAUUAUAGGAGAGCAUCUGUCAUUGUUACCUAUCUGCUGCUAUGGUAUUUUGGAUUGUGGUUGAUGAUAUCCACCAUUUCUGCGAUUUUUUGUUCUUCCUUUUGGAGAUUGAGUAUUCCUCAGACGCUGAAGAUCAAGUCUCCUCCCUUUGAAGAUCAAGUACUGCACAUGUUGGUUCUAUGGUGGUUGAUUGAAGUUCCCACUGUUCAUUGGAGUCUACAAGACUAAUGAUGCACUUGAUAUUCUAUUCUCGGUGGUCUAAGCUGAAGCUUUCUUUAGAUACAUGUAUACUCCAGCUUAAGGGGGAGUGUUGGAAUAUGUACACACGAUAGGGGGAGUGUCCCCAUCGUGACAUGGUUAUUGUAGUUACUUUCCAAGUUAGAUUAGGUUGUUUACUUUCCUAGUUAGACUAGAUCGCUAGUUUCCUAAAUUAGAGUUAGGCUAGGAUUGUCUUUCCCAUUCCACCUAUGAUUGUCCUUGGAUUUACUUAUUAUAAAUAUAUGAUCGAGGGAGACUGCCAGACACACAUCGGCUGCUCCUCUCCCUUGCCGUC